rnacentral:rRNA from 1 species
AGCGCAGGUGGUUGUAUAAGUCUGAAGUAAAAGGCAGUGGCUCAACCAUUGUGUGCUUUGGAAACUGUACAACUUGAGUGCGGUAGGGGAGACUGGAAUUCCCGGUGUAACGGUGGAAUGUGUAGAUAUCGGGAAGAACACCAAUGGCGAAGGCAGGUCUCUGGGCCGUUACUGACGCUGAGGAGCGAAAGCGUGGGGAGCGAACA